CGAGAGAAGCAAGACAGCACUAAGAACUGCUAAUUCUUUCCUCUGAGGUUAAACUCCGCAGUUCUCUCGA
rnacentral:tRNA from 1 species